GAAGGACAUGUACUUCAUGGUGCCACUGAGAGAAGAGGACAAACCACAGUUUGCAUUCACCUGGCAAGCAACCAGCUCAAGACUGCACCGUUCCGGACAAGGGCCCGAUCCUUACGAGCCCCGGGAGUCAGCAUGCAGCUCGACCGGACCCGUGGAGCCUCGGACAACGUGCCUUAAAAUCCAUAAAGACUUUGAAACUUCUCUGAACUGCAUUUGGGACAGUGAGUAAUUGAUAAACUUCUAUUUGAAACUGAAUAACUUCUCAAGACUUCAAUGAACUCUCUCAUAUCAUAAACUCUCUUCAUUUUAGUCAUUCUGUAUAUUAAAUCUCAACUACGAACCAAGAAUCUACGCGGGAUAAUUACAAAUAAGUUUGGGGAAGGGGAUUUCUAGUGUAUAAUAUUAAAUUACUUAUACCUUUUUAUAAAA